UACAGAGGUCUCAAGCGUUGUUCGGAUUCAUUGGGCGUAAAGGGGUGCGUAGGCGGCGCGGUAAGUCGGGUGUGAAUCUUGGAGCUUAACUCCGAACUGCAUUCGAUACUGCCGUGCUUGAGGACUGGAGAGGAGACUGGAAUUUACGGUGUAGCGGUGAAUGCGUAGAUAUCGUAAGGAGACCAGUGGCGAAGGCGGGUCUCUGGACGUUCCUGACGCUGAGG
rnacentral:rRNA from 1 species